GGAGAAAUACGGCCACUUUUGAGUCACAACUGAAUACUGGUUUGGAGCAUCAAGCGAUGACCGAAUUUGUAUCUCCAGUCCGCGUGGAAGUUUUAACUCAGCUGCAAGCCCAUGGCAUUGCACCAGAAUAUAUCACCUACCCCCGUGUAACCCUCACCUCUGCCUCUCGUCUGUGUGUGAGGCACAGUGACUCCUCCCGGCACUGUCUUACCCUCUUAGAUCCCCAUACAUCUCCCAAGGAAGAUAAGGGUC